CCUACGGGACGCACCAGUGGGGAAUAUUGCACAAUGGGCGCAAGCCUGAUGCAGCCAUGCCGCGUGUAUGAAGAAGGCCUUCGGGUUGUAAAGUACUUUCAGCGGGGAGGAAGGGAUGGUGCUUAAUACGCGCCGUCAUUGACGUUACCCGCAGAAGAAGCACCGGCUAACUCCGUGCCAGCAGCCGCGGUAAUACGGAGGGUGCAAGCGUUAAUCGGAAUUACUGGGCGUAAAGCGCACGCAGGCGGUCUGUUAAGUCAGAUGUGAAAUCCCCGGGCUUAACCUGGGAACUGCAUUUGAAACUGGCAGGCUUGAGUCUCGUAGAGGGGGGUAGAAUUCCAGGUGUAGCGGUGAAAUGCGUAGAGAUCUGGAGGAAUACCGGUGGCGAAGGCGGCCCCCUGGACGAAGACUGACGCUCAGGUGCGAAAGCGUGGGGAGCAAACAGGAUUAGAUACCCUCGUAGUC
rnacentral:rRNA from 1 species